rnacentral:lncRNA from 1 species
GGACUUGUAGACAUAUGGUGGUGGAGGUGAAGGAGAGGGAGGAGGUGGAGAGUUGUAGACAUAAGAAAGGGGUAGCGAUGCAUAUGGUGGUGGAGGAGAUUUGUAAACAUAUGGAGGCGGUGGUGAAGGAGAGGGAGGUGGAGGAGAUUUGUAGACAUACGGUGGAGGAGGUGAGGGAGAAGGAUGUGGUGGUGACUUGUGCACAUAAGGCGGAGGUGGUGAUGGGGAUGGUGGUGGUGGGGACUUGUAGAUGUAAGAAAGGGGUAGUGAUGCAGAUGGUGGAGGAGGAGACUUGUAGACAUAUGGAGGUGGUGGUGAAGGAGAGGGAGGUGGAGGAGAUUUGUAGACAUAUGGUGGAGGAAGUGAAGGAGAAGGAGGUGGUGGUGACUUGUAAAUAUAAGGUGGAGGUGGUGAUGGGGAUGGUGGUGGUGGGGACUUGUAGAUGUAAGAAAGGGGUAGUGAUGCAGAUGGUGGAGGAGGAGACUUAUAGACAUACUUAGGUUGUGGUGAUGGAGAGGGAGGUGGAGGAGAUUUGUAGACAUAUGGCGGAGGAGGUGAAGGAGAGGGAGGUGGUGGUGACUUAUAAAUAUAAGGUGGAGGUGGUGAAGGAGAUGGUGGUGGUGGAGAUUUGUAUGUAUAUAAUGGAGCUAAUUUGGGGUAGAGGUGUGCGUGUUUUGCAUGAUGUGGGGUGUAUUGUGAUUGUGGAUAUUUUGCAUGUUUUGGAGGAGGUGGAGAUUUAUAUGUAUAUAAUGGAGUUAAUUUGGGGUAGAGGUGUGAGUGUUUUGCAUGAUGUGGGGUAUAUUGUGAUUGUGGAUAUUUUGCAUACUUUGGAGGUGGUGGGGAUUUGUAUGUAUAUAAUUGAGUUAAUUUGGGGUAGAGGUGUGAGUGUUUUGCAUGAUGUGAGGUGUAUUUUGAUUGUGGAUAUUUUGCAUACUUUGGAGGUGGUGGGGAUUUGUAUGUAUAUAUUGGAGUUAAUUUUGGAUAGGGAUGUGAAUGUUUUGCAUGUUCAGGGGUGUACUUUGAUUGUGGAUAUUCUACAUGCUUUGUAGGUAAUGGAGAUUUGUGUUUAUAUAAUGGAGUUAAUUUAGGGUAGAGGUGCGAGUGUUUUGCAUGAUAUAGGGUGUAUUGUGAUUGUGGGUGUUUUGCAUAUUUUGGAGGUGGUGGAGAUUUAUAUGCAUAUAAUGGAGUUAAUUUGGGAUAGGGAUGUGAAUGUUUUGCAUGUUUUGGGGUGUACUUUGAUUGUGGAUAUUCUGCAUGCUUCGUAGAGAGUGGAGAUUUGUGUUUAUACAAUGGAGUUAAUUUGUGAUUGAGGUGUGGGUGUUUCGCGUAAUAAUAUGGGGUUUUUUGUGACCGUGGAUAUUCUACAUGCUUUGUAG